rnacentral:rRNA from 1 species
AAUAGAUACCCUGGUAGUCCACGCCGUAAACAAUGAGUGCUAAGUGUUAGAGGGUUUCCGCCCUUUAGUGCUGCAGCUAACGCAUUAAGCACUCCGCCUGGGGAGUACGGUCGCAAGACUGAAACUCAAAGGAAUUGACGGGGGCCCGCACAAGCGGUGGAGCAUGUGGUUUAAUUCGAAGCAACGCGAAGAACCUUACCAGGUCUUGACAUCCUCUGACAACUCUAGAGAUAGAGCAUUCCCCUUCGGGGGACAGAGUGACAGGUGGUGCAUGGUUGUCGUCAGCUCGUGUCGUGAGAUGUUGGGUUAAGUCCCGCAACGAGCGCAACCCUUGAUCUUAGUUGCCAGCAUUCAGUUGGGCACUCUAAGGUGACUGCCGGUGACAAACCGGAGGAAGGUGGGGAUGACGUCAAAUCGUCAUGCCCCUUAUGACCUGGGCUACACACGUGCUACAAUGGAUGGUACAAAGGGCUGCAAGACCGCGAGGUCAAGCCAAUCCCAUAAAACCAUUCUCAGUUCGGAUUGGU